UACGUAGGGGGCUAGCGUUAUCCGGAAUUACUGGGCGUAAAGGGCGCGUAGGCGGUCUUUCAAGCCAGAAGUGGAAGGCUACGGCUCAACCGUAGUAAGCUUUUGGAACUGUAAGACUUGAGUGCAGGAGAGGAGAGUGGAAUUCCUAGUGUAGCGGUGAAAUGCGUAGAUAUUAGGAGGAACACCAGUAGCGAAGGCGGCUCUCUGGACUGUAACUGACGCUGAGGCACGAAAGCGUGGGGAGCAAACAGGAUUAGAUACCCUGGUAGUCCCU
rnacentral:rRNA from 1 species